GCCACACCCCAUUAUCCAUUCCUAAACUGAAGAAACCAAGAAGGAGAGCUCCAUCUCCCUUUUCCAUCUCAACCUCGCCGCCGGUCGUGAAGACGACGACCGCCUCCAGCGUCAUUAAGCCGCCGUCGUUUCCUCUUCUCUUGCGUUCCAUUAUCACCUCUCCUCGCCGAUUCCAGCCCUCUAAGUUUCAUCCCAUUUCAUGCAGUGGUUUGGUGGGAACUCAAACCUCGACGAUAAUGCUCUGGAGCGCGCACUGGACGCCGCCAUCGGGACAUCGUCUUCGUUGCUGUCGAACCGGAGCAAGCCGAGCCGAGCCACCGCAUCAUCAACAUCUCCUCGGUGUCCUCUCUUAAAUCCCUCAUGAACCCCAGCCAGUGGUGCAUCGAGCUUGGAGAUCGGCAUCGUCUUCCCCAAUUCCAGCCGUCAAGCUCCACCUUCGAUUUCUCCCUCUCCGGUGAGUCACAGCUCAAUUCCUCGGGCAUGAAGCUUUCCAGAGACCUAUUAUACACCGUGUGUAUGCAUGCAUGGUAGAUCAUCAGCCAUAUCAAGCCGGCGACGUCAUUCCGAAGCUCCCCGCCGUCGCCGAGUCGUUCUGCUCGCGGUCACCGCUAUCUGGACCCUGCCAAGUUUCAUUGGACGCUCGGUUUAGACUUAGUCUUUGAGUGAUUGCGGUAAUCGACUGCUUCUUAUAGGACUUGAAUUUAAUGGGGUAAAUGUCAUAAUAUAACUAGUAAUAUGCCCGUACUAACGUUACGGGGAUGUUUCAUAAGACCACUGUGAUAUCACAGAAAAGGAAAUUCCUGCUGAGAAUG
rnacentral:sRNA from 1 species